UACAGAGGUGGCAAGCGUUGUUCGGAAUUACUGGGCGUAAAGGGCGCGUAGGCGGCUUGGUCAGUCCCGUGUGAAAUCCCUCGGCUCAACUGAGGAACUGCACGGGAAACUGCCUGGCUUGAGUUCGGGAGAGGGAAGCGGAAUUCCGGGUGUAGCGGUGAAAUGCGUAGAUAUCAGGAGGAACACCGGUGGCGAAGGCGGCCCUCUGGACGGAUACUGACGCUGAGGCGCGAAAGCGUGGGGAUCAAACAGG
rnacentral:rRNA from 1 species